rnacentral:lncRNA from 1 species
ACAUAGUCUAGAAAUGCUAAAUGUAAUGUGCAUGUUAAUAUGAUAAGAAACCAUGCUAGUGAUAUUUGCAUGAUAAUGCAUUGAUAGUACAUGCUAGUAAGUAAAUGCAUAUUAAUACAUAUGUGUAUAAUGAGCAUGUUGGAUAAGAUUCGUGUACAUGUAGACUCGAGAUAACAAUAGGAUGUCAAGUAGAUCGAGUGGCACUUAACCUAGUGUUAAAGAACAUAGGUUGUGAAUGAAUCUAGAGUCAUGUGAACUAGAUCGAGUGGCAUCUAACCUAGUGUUAAAGAACAUAGGUUGAGAAUGAACCUAGAGUUAAUCGAAUCUAGGUGUGUGGUAUUAACCUAGUGUCGAGAACAUAGGUUAAGAAUUGAGCCUAGAGUUAAAGUAAACCUAGGAUACGUGAUAAAGGCAUUGAACCUAGAGUCAGUUGGACCUAGGGUGAAAAGGACACUGGACCUAGAUAUGUCGAUACUAUAGGGUUUGAGACCAACCCUUGAGUCGUGAAAUGGAUUCUGGAAUCCCUAGUGAAGUGGCCGCAAAGGAAGCGGUGGUACUUGUGGUAAAAGAGAUGGCAAGCGAAUCAUAACUGCAGGUAUGUGUGGUUCUCAUCGCUUGGCAGUGAUUCAACGGGUAUGUGUGGUUCUCCUCACCCGGGAUGCCAUGAGAAUAAGCUGGAAUUGGGUAUAUGUGGUUCUCCUCGCCCAUUAGCUUAUCAGAUGAUGCCGCCUAGAUUGACUUGAACCAUUGCUGGGUGAGAGCGAGUAGCCGCUGCCAAAUGAGUAAGCCAUGACUUGAGCCAUUGUUGGGUGUGAUGCGAUGAGUUCGCCGCCAGGUGGCUAAGUCAUGACUUGAGUCAUUGUUGGGUCGAUGCGAUGAAUUCGCUACCAGAUGGUUAAGUCAGAGGUGCGGUAGGCUGUGACGGCAGCCAGGCUGAGAUGCAGCCAGUGUGCGGACUAUCCGCGGAUGAUUGACUCGAGGCCGAGUUGGGUGGUUAGCUUGAUUAGGUUAAUAGAAACCUUAUAAGCUAGUGAUAAAGGUAAAA